rnacentral:rRNA from 1 species
AGUGAACGCUGGCGGUAGGCCUAACACAUGCAAGUCGAACGGCAGCACAGUAAGAGCUUGCUCUUACGGGUGGCGAGUGGCGGACGGGUGAGGAAUACAUCGGAAUCUACUUUUUCGUGGGGGAUAACGUAGGGAAACUUACGCUAAUACCGCAUACGACCUACGGGUGAAAGCAGGGGAUCUUCGGACCUUGCGCGAUUGAAUGAGCCGAUGUCGGAUUAGCUAGUUGGCGGGGUAAAGGCCCACCAAGGCGACGAUCCGUAGCUGGUCUGAGAGGAUGAUCAGCCACACUGGAACUGAGACACGGUCCAGACUCCUACGAGAGGCAGCAGUGGGGAAUAUUGGACAAUAGGCGCAAGCCUGAUCCAGCCAUACCGCGUGGGUGAAGAAGGCCUUCGGGUUGUAAAGCCCUUUUGUUGGGAAAGAAAAGCAGCAGGUUAAUACCCCGCUGUUCUGACGGUACCCAAAGAAUAAGCACCGGCUAACUUCGUG